rnacentral:rRNA from 2 species
UUGACCUCGGAUCAGGUAGGGAUACCCGCUGAACUUAAGCAUAUCAAUAAGCGGAGGAAAAGAAACCAACAGGGAUUGCCUCAGUAACGGCGAGUGAAGCGGCAACAGCUCAAAUUUGAAAUCUGGCUCCUUCGGGGUCCGAAUUGUAAUUUGUAGAGAGUGCUUCGGGCGAGACCUCGGUCUAAGUCCAUUGGAACAUGGUGUCAUAGAGGGUGAGAAUCCCGUAUGCGACCGUGGCUCGAGCCCAUGUGAAGCCUCUUCGACGAGUCGAGUUGUUUGGGAAUGCAGCUCAAAAUGGGUGGUAAAUUUCAUCUAAAGCUAAAUACUGGCUGGAGACCGAUAGCGCACAAGUAGAGUGAUCGAAAGAUGAAAAGCACUUUGGAAAGAGAGUCAAACAGUACGUGAAAUUGUUGAAAGGGAAGCGCUUGCAACCAGACCUGCCCGUAGGCGAUCCGCCGCUGUUCUCAGCGGUGUACUCGCUCUGCGAUCAGGCCAGCAUCGGUUUCGGCGGUCGGAUAAAGGCCUUGGGAAUGUAGCUUCCCCUCGGGGGAGUCUUAUAGCCCUCGGUGUAAUGCGGCCAGCUGGGACCGAGGACCGCGCUUCGGCUAGGAUGCUGGCGUAAUGGUUGUAAGCGACCCGUCUUGAAACACGGACCAAGGAGUCUAACAUCUAUGCGAGUGUUUGGGUGUCAAACCCAUACGCGAAAUGAAAGUGAACGGAGGUGAGAACCCUUAAGGGCGCAUCAUCGACCGAUCCAGAUGUCUUCGGAUGGAUUUGAGUAUGAGCAUAGCUGUUGGGACCCGAAAGAUGGUGAACUAUGCCUGAAUAGGGUGAAGCCAGAGGAAACUCUGGUGGAGGCUCGCAGCGGUUCUGACGUG